rnacentral:rRNA from 1 species
GACGAAGGGGGCUAGCGUUGUUCGGAAUUACUGGGCGUAAAGCGCGUGUAGGCGGUUGCCCAAGUCGGGUGUGAAAGCCUUGAGCUCAACUCAAGAAAUGCACUCGGUACUGGGUGACUAGAGGACCGGAGAGGAUAGUGGAAUCCCCAGUGUAGUGGUGAAAUACGUAGAGAUUGGGAAGAACACCAGUGGCGAAGGCGGCUAUCUGGACACGUAUUGACGCUGAGGUACGAAAGCGUGGGGAGCAAACAGG